GAAAUGCGAUAAGUAAUGUGAAUUGCAGAAUUCAGUGAAUCAUCGAAUCUUUGAACGCACAUUGCGCCCGCCAGUAUUCUGGCAGGCAUGCCUGUCCGAGCGUCAUUUCAACCAUCAAGCCCCCGGGCUUGUGUUGGGGACCUGCGGCUGCCCGCAGGCCCUGAAAACCAGUGGCGGGCUCGCUGUCACACCGAGCGUAGUAGCAAUCACCUCGCUCAGGGCGUGCUGCGGGUUCCGGCCGUUAAACAGCCUUACAAAACCCAAGGUUGACCUCGGAUCAGGUAGGAAGACCCGCUGAACUUAAGC
rnacentral:misc_RNA from 1 species